rnacentral:misc_RNA from 1 species
AAGUCGUAACAAGGUUUCCGUAGGUGAACCUGCGGAAGGAUCAUUACAAUACUUUUACAAGUAUCCACCCAAAUUGUUGCACUGAAUGAGCGUCCGAUAGGAAAUACAAGUGGUUUGAGAGAAUUGGCGGCUUCGUGAAGUGCUUCGGCAUUUCGGUCAGUUCUCGAUUUCUCGCAAGCAAUUGUGUGAAAGCCCUUUUUUUUCCUAGUUCGCGUAUUUUUUCUCCUUUUUUAAAUUUUUUUAACCCCUUUCACCAAAUUACAAUUUAAACAACUUUAUUGAACUGAAUUCGAAGGAUGCUGAAAAGCGUCUAAUUCGAUUCGAUCUUUUUACGAAAUGUAAGAACAACUCUUAACAACGGAUAUCUUGGCUCUC